rnacentral:misc_RNA from 1 species
AACAUCGCGCACCUGCGGGAACCUGCGGAGGGAUCAUUACCGAGUGUGAACCCCCCCGUAAAAAAGAGGGGUUACCUCCCGUCCUUUGCUGGGAACCCCUUUCCAACUUGGAAGGAGGUUGUUUUCAGACCCUUCUGCUUCGGUGGGGUAACCCACCGGAACAACCUCAAAAAUAUUCUCAAUUCAAAACCGUUCAGUCCGAGAACUUUUUUGAAAAGCGAAGAAACUUUUAACAAUGGA